AACAAGUAGUAAACAGCUAGAUAGUNAGAUUGUUUCCGGGGGUAUGCGCACGAGCGCAACCCUACGUCGUCUAGUUACCAGCGCGUCAUGGCGGGGACUCUAGCGAGACUGCCGGUGCCAAACCGGAGGAAGGUGGGGACGACGUCAAGUCAUCAUGGUCCUUACGUCUAGGGCUACACACGUGCUACAAUGGCCAGGCUAAAGGGUCGCGAACGCGCAAGCGGGAGCCAAUCCCCAAAACUGGCCUCAGUUCGGAUUGUCGUCUGCAACUCGACGGCAUGAAGCUGGAAUCGCUAGUAAUCGUGGAUCAGCUACGCCACGGUGAAUACGUGCCCGGGCCUUGUACACACCGCCCGUCACGCCAUGGAAGUGGUGAGCGCCCGAAGUCCGUGUCGGAACCCGCAAGGGACCAAGCGGACCGAAGGCGAGCAUCAUGACUGGGGGCGAAGUCGUAACAAAGGUAGCCGUAGUGGGAAACCUGNCGGGCUGGGAUCNAUCUCCCUUAAAACG
rnacentral:rRNA from 1 species